CUAGUAUCAAAGAUACGUUAAGAGUUGAAAAAGCUUUUUUAGCGAUAAUAUUGGAAAAUAUGGCGUUUGCAUUGGUGAAUUUUUACAACGAAAAUACAUGGGAUAUCAUUCCAUAUUCUAACAUCAUUUUUUAGGAUGAAAAUAUGUCGAAAGACAAAGAUGAACUUAAAGGAUUCAAAACAUUAGUCAUGUGGAGCGAUGGAAAAACAAAGGGAAACGGCAAGUCGAGGGAAUUUCCUGCAGAGAUAAUAGAGGUUUCAGAUAGUAAAGAUUAUUUGCUCAAGACAAUGAGAAAAGAAGAAACUUUCUCUAUAAAUACUGGCAAAGGGUCUCGCAAAAAAAUUCACAAAGCAAAGUUUACAAUUAAAAGAGCACAGUAUUCCUAAAAAGCUAAAGGCAUCCAGGUCAAAGAAAACAGAGGCUUGCUGCUCAGCCAGCCUUGCUUCACUUAUAAAAGAGUUAUUAACCAAGGAGAGUCAGUCAGAUGAAGGUAGUGCAUUUUGCAAUGAUAAAUGCAAGUAUAAAAAAGAAGCCUUGGAACUCAAAGAGAGGAUUUAGAACUUCAUUAAAAAAGUAAUGAGGAUAUGUGUGUACCUUGGAAGAUUCCGCCAGGUAACUUCCACAAAGAUCAUUUUUGACCAGAACUUCCCUCAGUAAAUCCCCGUCCACCCCAUCCACCACAUCUUUGUCACCCAUUGAAGGUUUGCUUGUGGUGGAGAAUAGAUUCACCCCAGCUUUAUCUGGGAGAAGUAGCUCUUACUCAAACCUUUCAAAUCUUCCAGAAGAAAACCCUUCCCCCAUAACAACUGCUGUGUUUAAGAGCUCUAUCAAUGGGCUAUCAAAUGAAACCAACUAAACUAUGGAAGAAAGCCCUCUGGAUUGCUCAAAUGCAACAACUGAAGAUACUUCUCUCCCCGAAAUGGUCACUUUGGGACCAAAUUUGGUUGUCAAAAUGCAUGUCCUUAAAAGAAUCGUUGCGAAGAAAGUUGGAUCAUAUGUUGCUAACUUAAUGGGGGCAACCUUAUCCCAUGAACACAUGGCUACCCACAGCUACAAGGGCCAAAAAGGGAAAAAUGGUCAGGUCAAGCCUCGGCUUGAUUCCAUAUACACUACCUCUUUAAUUUAGCAUGCAACGAGUGUGAAGUAUUCAAAUAUGCCACGCCAGAUUAUAGAAGAAGAUGUUGUAAAAGCUAUAAAGUUCAAACUUAAUAACGAGGAACAAGCAUGGAAUAAACAACACGAAUCCUGUAAAGAGUAACAUUACCUGUCUAUAGUAUGUUUUUCUAUUAAGUCUAUCCAUGCAACUUAAUGAUAUUUUUCUAUAAAAGAAAAAAAUUGAUGAAUAAGGUAUGUGUGUGUUGAUAUGUCUGUAUAGAAGGAAGUUAAAUUGUUUAUUAUAGCUGUUAUUAGUCGUUCGGUUCAGUUGUUAUAUUUGUAAAAUAUGUGUUAUUAUAUUAGUGCUUGACGAAGCAAACUUACUUGAAAUUGCAAUUGUAAUCAUGUUAUCAUUGAAUGGUUAAAUAUUUAGAUCGUUUAGAAGCAGAAAUACCAUUAUUUUAAUGAUGAAA